GAUAGGUGAUUGGCCAUCAGCUUUGGUGACACCUGGUUAGAGGCAUCAGCUUGUCUAUUGUUUAAACGGUUAACCAAUUAAAGGGAGAGGGGCUGAGGUUGCUUUUGGGGCCAGUUGGCCGGCCGUUGGGCUGGGUUCGGCCGGCUGGCCGGCCGGUUGGCCAGCCAGCACGGCUGGAGUCUGGUGUGGCACAGCUGAGGUCCGGGGUACAGCCAGUGUGGCUGAGAUCCGGUGUGUCACAGCCGGGGUCUGUCCAGCAGGGCCGGGGUCCAGCCAGCUCAGCAGGGGGUUAAUGGUUAAUGUCGGUUAACUAGUAAGCCUAAUGCUUACCGAUUAACUGGUUAACAUUUUACAUUCCUAGGAGGGAGUGAAUACAGGGGUGCAUUCUAUCACAGAGACCUGUCAUCGUUAUACUGUAGUUUCGUUUGUAAGUCUUGGAGGAGGCUGUGUGUGUUUCCUAUAGACCACAAAUGCACCAACUGGAAAUGACUGAUAAUCAGGAGCACCCAACACAUAUGUCCGGCAAGGAGCACUAUCUCAGACCUACACUACAAUGAGUAAUCUCACUUGGCAGGUGCAUAGCAUUGUUAAGGCACAGAUCCUACUUUACAGAAAAUGGCUUGUGCUUUUUUUGUAUUAGGUAAAGGGUCUUUUUUCAGAAUGUCAGGGGAUGUCACUCUCAUAAUCCAGCAUUUUUUAUCUAGGUGCCUCUCAGUUUCUGAAUGCUAUGCUGACACAAGUUCUGACAUACAUCCAGUUUCCAAGCACUCCACUGCUGCCCCUGAUUCAGACUGUUCUGAACAUGCCAUUGUCAGCUAUGGAGAUUUCACUGUUAGCUCACACCACAAAAACUGCACAGUUUCCUACCUACACUGUGAGUUCCCCAGCGAUGCAGACUGCCUAAGCAGGCCUACUUUGCUUUCUCCUCAGAGGUUAUAAAUAGUAUAAUUCCCUGAAGCUGUAAGUAAUCACACAGUCCUUUCUAAACAAAUACAUUUAUUCUUAAAGUAAAAGCAUUACAGAGAAAACAUAUAUUUAAAACAAUAAGAGAACCUAAACACAUGCUAAUGAGCUUACCAGAUCACCCCCAACUCCAACAAGGGCUCUGGCAGGUGAUCAGCCCUUUAAACCCCACCAAGGGGUUUUCCUGUGGUUACAAGUUCAUAACAGCUGUUAGCUCUGACACCCCCAUGAAUCUUAGAGUCCCUCCUUUAUGCAACUCAGGGCUCUGAUCUUCAGAUUCUGGUAACAGGUAAUCAGCAGACAAUGGGUUUCCCCAUAGGUAGGGUGACCAGAUGUCCCAUGUUUAAAGGGACAGUCCCAUUUUUGGGGACUUUUUCUUAUAUAGGCGCCUAUUACCCCCCACCCCCUGUCCCGUUUUUUCACAGUUGCUAUCUGGUAACCCUACCCUACCCCUUCAAAUGAUUGGGUCUGGAGGUGGGAUUUUACUUCCUUCCAAGUAUUUCCUAGGAAAUCCAGUCAGCUUUGUUUGUCGUAAAGGUUCCUUCUUGUCUGACACAUUGUUUAAAAUGGGCCUUUGAAGCUCAACACAUUGGUCACCCCCCACCCCAGUGAAGUUACAUAUAACCCCACAA